UAUUAUAACUUAUAGCAAAAUAAGAAAACCCCAUCAGCCGUUCCUGCCGUUCCUCUCUCUUCGUUCCUCUCUCUCGUUGGCUGCGUCCAACACCGCCCCAGACGCACGACUUCCUCCCACACCAGCGCCUCCCUCUCUCCUCCUACACACCAGCGCCUCCCCCUCUCUCGCGACACAGACGCACGACAGCGCCUCAGCCAGGCCGUUCGAUUGGGUUCCUCCACCGAACAUAAGGGCUUCGAAGAGAUCGACCCAAGCGAUGGCUGGGUCUUCGGCGAUUGACAGCUUCAACGGAGCUGAAAUCCGAGAUCUUCGCCCCGAAAAUAUUCAGAUCUCUGGUAUAUGGUGUUCUCUCUUUCUCUCUUGUUGAAUUUCUCUACAAACUAUGGUGGAUCUCGGGAUCUGUAUCGAUUGGGCUCAAAAAUGGCCGGGCUUGAUGAGUUAGUUCAACUGUUGCAGAUUGUUAGGGAUAAAGAUUGGAACUUGAAUCAACUAAGUUAUUUUUUCUGUUUUUUUUAUUCAAAUGCUCAUGCCCAUAAUUAUGGGUUUACAUUGUUGUUAUAUUUUCUUUUAAACAAUUAUAUAUUUUUUUUGUUGUUGGAAAUAUUAUACUGUAAUUUAUUUUGAAUUUCUA